AGAACGAACGCUGGCGGCAGGCCUAACACAUGCAAGUCGAACGCCCCGCAAGGGGAGUGGCAGACGGGUGAGUAACGCGUGGGAACGUACCCUUCGGUUCGGAAUAACCCGGGGAAACUCGGGCUAAUACCGGAUACGUCCUGCCCCUUAAACAAGGGUGGGAGAAAGAUUUAUCGCCGAAGGAUCGGCCCGCGUUGGAUUAGCUAGUUGGCGGGUAAUGGCCCACAAGGCGACGAUCCAUAGCUGGUCUGAGAGGAUGAUCAGCCACACUGGGACUGAGACACGGCACAGACUCCUACGGGAGGCAGCAGUGGGGAAUAGUUGGACAAGUGGGACGAAAGCCUGAUCCAGCCAUCGCCGCGUGAGUGAAGAAGGCCUAGGUUAGUAAAGCUCUUACAGCGGGAAGAUAAUCGGAACGGUACCCGCGAAGAAGAACGCCCCGGACUAACCGUUCGUACG
rnacentral:rRNA from 1 species